AGGAGUGCACAAAAGCAUUAGAAUUAAAUCCUUUAUAUAUGAAAGCUUUGGUGAGAUGGGCUGAGGCUCAUGAAAAACUAGAACAUUUUGAAGAGGCUAUUGCUGGCAAGUUCGGAUUUCAUAUUAAUUUUAGACUCUUAACAUAUCAAAGUGGUUAUGUUAUUUCUUAUUAGUUUCAUUUUUAUGUCUUUGAAUUUUGUUGACCUAUUCUUAUAUCUGGACAAUACUUUUUGCUUUUCUUUUUUUCUUCUUUUAUGCUAAUAAGGAUUUGAAGUUUGUACAUAGUUUUGCUCUCUGUUGCUUUGUUUAUUGUACCUUGUCAUCUUCUCUUUUCUUGCAGAUUUGAAGAAAAUCUUGGAGAUUGAUCCGUCUUUAAAUGACCAAUCCAAGAGAUCCAUUGGCCUCUUGCAGCCUCUGGCUGAACAAAAGCGAGAAAAGAGAUGAUUGGUAAGAUAAGUGCAUCAUCUUCUUGUGCAUUAUAUGUUUUUCGCUUCUUUUGAAGGUUUAGGAUCUUAUAAGUUCCUAAUGAAGCAAGGCAUGCCUUCUCAUGUCCGGAGUGUAUGCCAGAGCAUGAGAAAAUUCAUAAGGAAUAAGGAAAGGACCUUUGGGUUUGGUAUCUGAACACAGUUUCUUUCUACUAAUUAAGUACUAGCCACUAGUUUGAAGACUCGAAUGGCAUGCGCUCACUUGAGAAAGCUGUGACGAAGUACUUCAAAAAUUGGCAUUCAUCAUUCAUCAUCAUCGGCAUCAGGCAUUUUAUACGAACCCAAAAUAAAUUAUUUCUGAGAGAGCCAUAGCAUAAAUAAAAGUUUUCUCAGGCUGUUUCAAUAAUUCAUUUCUGCAGGCUUCAGCCUUCAGACCUUUUCAAGUAUUCUAAGGCCACUGAAAGCCUAUAAUAUCCUGGAAAAAAUUAUGAACUGCCUCACUUUCAUUACGUAACGGGGACAAAAAAUCAGUGGAUAGUAACUCCUAUGGGAGAUUUAUCCUAAAUUCAUGAAGUACUCAGAGUAGACCAUGCUUUAAAACUGCCAUCCAAGGAUAUAUAGAAGCUGAAAGAAAUGGGCAACUAAUUUGGGAAUGAGCUUCCAACAAUAGAUUUUCGGCAUGAUGUUUUUACAUCCAUAACAAGGUCCAGUAGCAGCCGUCCAUACACUUACACAUAUAACAACAGUGGCACUUCCUUCCUUGCAGAAUAAAUUAUACAAGUAAAUGAAGAGUGGACAGAUCAGUGAAUUUGUGGAAACAGUUUUAUUUUGUUAAACCAGUGCCAAUAGUUAGUUAAAAAUUGCUUCCAUGAGAGAGUUUCAAUUAAUAUGGAUUGAACUUGUAUGAUGAGAUCCUAUUAGAUCACAAACAUGCAACUGCAAAGCCAGUCACAACUUUUUGAUCAUAUAUAGACAUAUAUAUAUAUAUAUAUAUAUAUAUACACUAAUAUUCUACCGGGCAACUUUGGCAACUUGUGCGGGGCAACACAUGUCCCAUCAGAUGUGGUGGGAUGUUUGUCGGCCAUCUCAUCUUGCCCAUGGGACGAUGGCCAGUAGAAUAAAAUUAUAUAUAUUUUUAAUUUAAUCUAUCAAUUUCCUAUACAAUCAAAGCAUAUACCAGUUGCAUCUUGCAACUUUGACAAAA